AACACAUGCAAGUCGAACGAAGCACUUUCCUUGAUUCCUUCGGGAUGAUUUUUAAGUGACUGAGUGGCGGACGGGUGAGUAACGCGUGGAUAAUCUGCCUUAGAGUGGGGGAUAACUAGUCGAAAGAUUAGCUAAUACCGCAUAAGACCACAAGAACUGCGGUUCAAGGGGUCAAAGGUUUUUCGCUCUAAGAUGAGUCCGCGUAAGAUUAGCUGGUUGGUAGGGUAACGGCCUACCAAGGCGACGAUCUUUACCUGGUCUGAGAGGAUGAUCAGUCACACUGGAACUGAGACACGGUCCAGACUCCUACGGGAGGCAGCAGUAGGGAAUAUUGCACAAUGGAGGAAACUCUGAUGCAGCGACGCCGCGUGAGUGAUGAAGGCCUUCGGGUCGUAAAGCUCUGUCGCAGGGGAAUAACACAAUGAAGGUACCCUGUAAGAAAGGAUCGGCUAACUUCGUGCCAGCAGCCGCCGUAAUAC
rnacentral:rRNA from 1 species